UUGAAAUAGUCAAUAUUGGAACUUUCUCAUCGUAAGAGUAAUCGUAAGAGCCAAUACGGUUUCUUAUUAAAAUCCGGGUCAUCAUUUUCCAUCACCCUGUAUUAUAUAAACGAUAACAGGAAAUGAAACUUGUAGUAGUGGUCAGUAAUAAAACUUUUCCUUUGUAGUGUGGACAAACUAUAUCUAUACCUUAGUAGUUUAUUAUUAGUGAAAUUAUGUUCUCGGUCAAAAAAAUAAUAAUUACAAAGUUCGUUUAAUUGAAAUAUAAGAUUAAAGGUUGACGCGGCUACAGGUUCAGUUGGCCAAUACUGUACUGGUAGCGAGGUACUGCACGGUCAGCCAGAGGGUGUACUGAUCAGCUGAUCUCAGGUAAAUAUAAACAAACAAGACGGCCGAAACUGAAUAUAACUUGUUAAAUAACUGCUGGUAUUUCAUUCUUCCAUUCUUUGUAUUGGCGUAUCGUGAUAUUUUCGGGGGUACCAACAUUUGUAGUUAAAUAGUUAUGUUUCUACAUAAGUUGCAUUAAUCUACGACAUGAUCAUUUGAAAAAAAAAGUGACUUACAGAACGAACUAGUAAUCACUAGUGGCCCUCGCCAUAUUUUUUAUUUGAAAACAAACCGCGCUACGAAGUGAUCCACCUCCCUCUAUGCCUUUUUGCACACACACACACCGGGUAAUACGGUUUUGCAAUACUGUGCACUAGGUUGCUGAACAGAGCAGCCUAGUGCAUGCUACGUCGCUUGCGUAUUGCCCAACUGAACGAAGUUUCUGUCAAGUGCUGAGAAUGUUCUAGGCAUGUGUAGUUUGAUCAAAGGCUAGGAAGAGAAGGGAAGGGGGAGAGAGAGAUGAGGGUUGUAUUUGGAAGCGUCAGCGACAAGUUCAUUAGCUACUCGAUAAGAGAAUGAGAUGUGGGUUUUAGCUAUAGGAUGAUAGUGUGUGAGGACAGUGAGCAGGCGAGGCAUAGGAGGGCAGUGUGUGAGAUGCAGUGAGUACAUGAGGUGGUCUGGUUUCGUGUCCGGAGACGACUUCUAACAAAUAUCAAGCAACUGUGCGUCAGUGACCCAGCUACAGAGUUUAGUGUACGGUGUUAACUCACCCAAAACCGUCUACUACUGUUCUUAAGCGUGCCAUAACAACAGAUCCGUCACAAGAACCGCAGGAGAAUUUGGGAAUGACGUGAAGAGAGACGCAAAAGGAACCAACCAAUCAUAACUGUGUCUCUGUCAACCAAUCAUAACUGUGUCUGUGUCAACCAAUCAUAACUGUGUCUGUGUCAGUACUUCAUGUGUACCUUUGGUCGAUGUGUAGAACUCUGAACAGUAUUGCCAAGACCCGUGUGAUGACAGUGUUACCAAGGCCGCUGUCUUCAAGCCUCCACCACACAUGACGUUAUGCUGCAGUACACAAGG